GCAACCACGCAGCAAAAUCUUACCGAAGAAGUCUCCAUAUUCGCUAAUAGGAAUAAUGCAAUAUGAGAAAUAUAACAGCCAAGUUCUAUCACAAAAAAACGAUGCGACCACUCACACAAUAAUAACUAACUAACUAACUAUACAACAAGUGAGCUAAAUGCAGAUUAUGGCGUAACGCUAUAAAUUAGGUGAGUAUAUGCUGCACAAUUAUUCCAUCCAGUCUUCAUUCGUCCCCUUCUUCUGAUUUGCAUGAUGAUCUCUCCAUGCUCCACGGUGCGAGUGAUGAUGCAAAAGAAUUGAUUAUAAAGUUGGACUAGGAAACAAAUCCUGCAAAAUAAAGUUCCACCAUCCAGCAAAGAGCGUUUUUACCACUUGAGCGUCUUAAACGAUUUCCAUCCUGCAGUAUUAUUCGCAAUCCUACCCCACCAUGCACCACCAACCACACACCAUCCAUCCAUACCACCAGGUCUAUUCAGCUAUUCAUAAUUCUCUCAAGGAUUUUCCUACAUCUGCAAAUAAAGGGAGUUUUCUUUAAUGACAUUAACAGUUGUGCCGACCGGCCGAUGAGAUAACGCCAAUUAAUCCAAGAAAAUUCAGACAUGGUUUCAUAUUCGCAAGUAAUUGGAAACUAAGUCUGGCAGGUAGUGAGUAAGUAUUAACUACUUUAUUUUCCUAAAAAAAACUUCCCAGCAGCAGGAUUUGCAGUAACAUUGGCAGCAGGAGCAGUAGUAUCUAAAACGGAUUGGGAUGAGAACAUAAUGAAUGGCGUUGUUUGUGCUGUGUGCAAUUUAAUCAAGACUUGCACGGCGUACUUAUGCACAACAAGCUGUUGGACGACGGCGUGAUUGGGCCAAAUAAAAGGCUGAGACGUUGAAGCUAUAGUGGAUUGUUGUUAUUAUUAUGGAUAUAUACCUAUGUAUGAGCCUAUUAUGUGUUUGUACCCAUUUUACAUGUAUGCAGUAAUGCAACAAGUUUCUGUGUAGGUGCAACUUAUAUGUAUUAUGUUUUUCCACCACCACCACAUCCUACCUAAGUACUUGCUAUAGUUAGUUAAAUGCCAAUCAAUGUGUGCGACUUAAGUGCCCUUUGUUGCCUCUUUGUGCCUAUCAGACAUUGUGGUACGAGUGCAAUUCCUUUUGUGCAAAAUGUAUGUGUACGCAAGUGUACGUAUGUAUGUACAUAAGUCGUGGUGGAUGAAUUCCAUGCAUGCUUAUUAGUUGCUUAACGUAUUAUAUGCCUAGUGCCUAUGUACUUAAGCUAGAGUAGUUUUAUAGCACGGCCUACCACAAACAAAUAAUUUGCACAUGUGAGCAAAAUGCGAAGGAUGGAAUGGAUGAGAUGGAUGCAAUUCACGAAGGAUUUUCCUACGUCUGAGCUGUAGCCAUGACCGUCAACUUAUUACACACAGAUCAAACAAGGAACUUUAAUUUCAUGCUUUUUAUUAUUUUAGGCAUUUUGUUAUCACAAGUGUUUCACGAUGAGAUUUCUUUGUCAAUUUUUUCACAAAACGGACCGAAUAUUUGUAAAUAUGUUUUUCACAUCAUUAUUUUCAAAGUCAAAUAUUUCUCCUGUUUUUUUUUGUCUGGAAUAAAUGACUUUUCCGUUUCCCAACAGAUAAUAAUAGCAAAUAAUGAUAUAUCUGUUUUAGUUUGUCCUUCAGGCAUUGCAAAAACAAAAAUUCGGCGGCGAUAUAAAUAAAAUUAAAUGUCAUCUUUCUCACAGCAUAACUUUUUGAUGGUGUAAUAAUAGCAAUAAUUCACGGAAUCAGGGUGCAAAAAGUAAAACUGUAUAGAUUCAACGAGUCAUGCUGUUCAAGAGUCAUUAAUAAUAACUUUAUGGUAUAAAUCUGGCAUAUUUUUUAUAAUUCCAGUCAUGACAUAAUCUAGCGUCUCGAGAGACAAAAAAUAGAAGGGACGUUCGAUAGGGGUACAACAGAAUGCAGUAUAGCGUGAUUGGCGGUUAUGUGUGUAAGAAGACAAUGGGAAGACAGUUGAUUUGGAGGUGUGUGGAAUCGAGACGACUUGACAGUUUGAGAUAAAGUAUCGCUUUGGCCAAUGUCUAUUAAUAAAAAUUAAACAAGUACAUGUAAAAUGUGGGAGUGGAGUAUGACCAAUUUUUUUAUAAAUACCUACAAUACGUCAUUCUACUAGAGAAUAAAAAUCAAACAAAUGCAAAA